rnacentral:tRNA from 1 species
ACCUGUUACAAUAGAAAUGCACCCUCCACUUUGACAGGGUGGAGGUCACUGGUUCGAACCCAGUACGGGUCACCA